GAUGAACGCUGGCGGCGUGCCUAAUACAUGCAAGUCGAGCGAAUGGAUUAAGAGCUUGCUCUUAUGAAGUUAGCGGCGGACGGGUGAGUAACACGUGGGUAACCUGCCCAUAAGACUGGGAUAACUCCGGGAAACAGGGGCUAAUACCGGAUAACAUUUUGAACCGCAUGGUUCGAAAUUGAAAGGCGGCGGCGGCCGGAAACUAUGGAUGGACCCGCGUCGCAUUAGCUAGUUGGUGAGGUAACGGCUCACCAAGGCAACGAUGCGUAGCCGACCUGAGAGGGUGAUCGGCCACACUGGGACUGAGACACGGCCCAGACUCCUCCGGGAGGCAGCAGUAGGGAAUCUUCCGCAAUGGACGAAAGUCUGACGGAGCAACGCCGCGUGAGUGAUGAAGGCUUUCGGGUCGUAAAACUCUGUUGUUAGGGAAGAACAAGUGCUAGUUGAAUAAGCUGGCACCUUGACGGUACCUAACCAGAAAGCCACGGCUAACUACGUGCCAGCAGCCGCCGUAA
rnacentral:rRNA from 1 species